AUUGAACGCUGGCGGCAGGCCUAACACAUGCAAGUCGGACGGUAGCACAGAGGAGCUUGCUCCUCGGGUGACGAGUGGCGGACGGGUGAGUAACGUCUGGGAAACUGCCCGAUGGAGAGGGAUAACUACUGGAAACGGUAGCUAAUACCGCAUAACGUCGCAAGACCAAAGUGGGGGACCUUCGGGCCUCACACCAUCGGAUGUGCCCAGAUGGGAUUAGCUAGUAGGUGGGGUAAUGGCUCACCUAGGCGACGAUCCCUAGCUGGUCUGAGAGGAUGACCAGCCACACUGGAACUGAGACACGGUCCAGACUCCUACGGGAGGCAGCAGUGGGGAAUAUUGCACAAUGGGCGCAAGCCUGAUGCAGCCAUGCCGCGUGUAUGAAGAAGGCCUUCGGGUUGUAAAGUACUUUCAGCGGGGAGGAAGGCGGUGAAGUUAAUAGCUUCACCGAUUGACGUUACCCGCAGAAGAAGCACCGGCUAACUCCGUGCCAGCCGCCGCAGUAA
rnacentral:rRNA from 1 species